rnacentral:rRNA from 1 species
AGAGUUUGAUCCUGGCUCAGGAUGAACGCUAGCGGCAGGCCUAAUACAUGCAAGUCGAGCGGUGGUAGCAAUACCAUAGCGGCAAACGGGUGCGUAACACGUACACAACAUGCCUUCAAGAGGAGGAUACACUUGGGAAACUGAGGACAAUACUCCAUAGCAUAACAACUUGGCAUCAAGGAGUUAUUAAAGCUACGGCGCUUGAAGAUUGGUGUGCGUCCUAUUAGCUAGUUGGUAGGGUAACGGCCUACCAAGGCUACGAUAGGUAGGGGAUGUGAGAGCAUGGUCCCCCACACGGGCACUGAGACACGGGCCCGACUCCUACGGGAGGCAGCAGUAAGGAAUAUUGGUCAAUGGAGGGAACUCUGAACCAGCCAUGCCGCGUGCAGGAAGAAGGUCCUCUGGAUUGUAAACUGCUUUUAUAAGAGACGAAAAAGCGAGAUUUAUCUUGUGUUGACGGUAUCUUGUGAAUAAGCACCGGCUAACUCCGUGCCAGCAGCCGCGGUAAUACGGAGGGUGCAAGCGUUAUCCGGAAUCACUGGGUUUAAAGGGUGCGUAGGCGGUCAAAUAAGUCAGUAUUGAAAGCUCCGGGCUCAACUCGGGAACUGGUAUUGAUACUGUUUGGCUGGAGUACGGGAGAGGUAGGCGGAAUGCGACAUGUAGCGGUGAAAUGCAUAGAUAUGUCGUAGAACACCGACUGCGAAGGCAGCUUACUAAACCGGCACUGACGCUGAGGCACGAAAGCGUGGGGAUCAAACAGGAUUAGAUACCCCGGUAGU